rnacentral:rRNA from 1 species
UUGACGUUAGCGACAGAAGAAGCACCGGCUAACUCCGUGCCAGCAGCCGCGGUAAUACGGAGGGUGCGAGCGUUAAUCGGAAUUACUGGGCGUAAAGCGCAUGCAGGUGGUUUGUUAAGUCAGAUGUGAAAGCCCGGGGCUCAACCUCGGAAUUGCAUUUGAAACUGGCAGACUAGAGUACUGUAGAGGGGGGUAGAAUUUCAGGUGUAGCGGUGAAAUGCGUAGAGAUCUGAAGGAAUACCGGUGGCGAAGGCGGCCCCCUGGACAGAUACUGACACUCAGAUGCGAAAGCGUGGGGAGCAAACAGGAUUAGAUACCCUGGUAGUCCACGCCGUAAACGAUGUCUACUUGGAGGUUGUGGCCUUGAGCCGUGGCUUUCGGAGCUAACGCGUUAAGUAGACCGCCUGGGGAGUACGGUCGCAAGAUUAAAACUCAAAUGAAUUGACGGGGGCCCGCACAAGCGGUGGAGCAUGUGGUUUAAUUCGAUGCAACGCGAAGAACCUUACCUACUCUUGACAUCCAGAGAACUUUCCAGAGAUGGAUUGGUGCCUUCGGGAACU